AAAGGGCUUUUUUAAAGCUCCCCUCAGCCUAAGCAGCACCCGCCCCCAGCGCAGCUCGCAGCUCGGGCGAGCGACGGACUGACGAGCAGCUCCCCGCCGAAGCUCGGAAAAGAAGCCGCCUCCGCCGCGGACAAUCCGGCCCCGUUCGAAUCCUUGCGUUCCAUUGGUUGCCUCACAAACCUUCUCGUUCCCGGAUUGGCUUCGAGAACUGCUCAUGUGCUUUUGUUUACCUCGCCGGCUGCCGGCUGAUCGCGAGCCGGCGUUUGUGGUUGCUACGCAACGGGGGCGACCGCCCUCCGCCGUUCCGGGACUCGCGGCGCCGCGCGAAUUAUGACUCCGCGCGCUCCUCCCCCCCCCCUCGCCCUUGCUAAACAGAGAGGAAUGGGCGGGAGCCGAAGGAAUCGGGGAGGUUUUCCUGAAAUAAAGGAAAAAGUGCUGAAAUACUGUGCAGAACCACGUAAGCGUGAUUUAGCCCUAAGGUCAUCUGGUCCAACUGUUUGCCAGAAGCAAGACUCCUGCAAAAGCUCUCCUUGCAGCCAAAGGCCUUGGAUGGUGGAAAGCGGCGUGUCUCAGGGUUUCUCGCUGGUGUUUUAAGGUAUGCAGUAGAAGAAUAUGAAGAAGAGUUCUUGGUGCAUCUCCUUGCUAUACUUCUGAUAAAAAGAAACUGUUUCCUAGCAGAGCCUGUCACUUUCUCCAACAAGAGAGAAAACAGAAACCAAUCACCUUUUGAUUUUCCUUUCCCAAUUCCUCACAUAUCAACCAUUUAAUCUCUAGCGCUAAGGCAUCCUUAAACAUUGUCUGUACAAGCUGAUUUUGUAGGAUUUAUUCACAUCAAAAUUAAACUGUAUUUACCUCUUAGCAGCAUCAGGACUCUUUGCUACAAUUACUGCAUUUCUGUAAUCAGGAAUCUAGA